rnacentral:rRNA from 1 species
AUUGAACGCUGGCGGCAGGCCUAACACAUGCAAGUCGAGCGGAUGAAGGGAGCUUGCUCCUGGAUUCAGCGGCGGACGGGUGAGUAAUGCCUAGGAAUCUGCCUGGUAGUGGGGGAUAACGUCCGGAAACGGGCGCUAAUACCGCAUACGUCCUGAGGGAGAAAGUGGGGGAUCUUCGGACCUCACGCUAUCAGAUGAGCCUAGGUCGGAUUAGCUAGUUGGUGGGGUAAAGGCCUACCAAGGCGACGAUCCGUAACUGGUCUGAGAGGAUGAUCAGUCACACUGGAACCGAGACACGGUCCAGACUCCUACGGGAGGCAGCAGUGGGGAAUAUUGGACGAUGGGCGAAAGCCUGAUCCAGCCAUGCCGCGUGUGUGAAGAAGGUCUUCGGAUUGUAAAGCACUUUAAGUUGGGAGGAAGGGCAGUAAGUUAAUACCUUGCUGUUUUGACGUUACCAACAGAAUAAGCACCGGCUAACUUCGUG